rnacentral:snRNA from 1 species
UGAGGCAGAGAAAUGGCAAUCUAUUUACAGAAACUUGAUCGCCAGGGUUGAUUCGGCUGAUUUGGUUGGCUAGGUGGGUAUCCCCUUUCUCUCCCGCCGUUCAGUGUGCGUCCCUCCCAAAGCUGUGUGCUCGGCCAAAGAGGAUGACCUUCCCCGAACAGAGAUGGGCAGGUCUUCUCUCUCA